rnacentral:misc_RNA from 1 species
UCAUCUUGGACGUUUCAUCUUUUUUUAUCAAAUUUUCUCCAUUUGAGAACAAGGGCUGAUUUUCACUAGAAUCAUGCUGGUUAAACUGUGAAUUGCUUCUUGCAAAUGUUUCAUGUGAUGGUUCCCGUAGAAUUCCUUGUGCUGAAGAAGACCUGUGGCAGAAGCUACCAAAUCCUUGUAUUCCUCUAGUCAGCUUCCUAGCCCUCUCCCUCUCUUCUUUAAGAAGAGGUUCUUUCUCAAGCAGGUUCACUAUUCUUUCUGAUUUCUUUCUAACAG